rnacentral:rRNA from 1 species
GACGAACGCUGGCGGCGUGCUUAACACAUGCAAGUCGAACGGAAAGGCCCUGCUUUUGUGGGGUGCUCGAGUGGCGAACGGGUGAGUAACACGUGAGUAACCUGCCCUUGACUUUGGGAUAACUUCAGGAAACUGGGGCUAAUACCGGAUAGGAGCUCCUGCUGCAUGGUGGGGGUUGGAAAGUUUCGGCGGUUGGGGAUGGAAUCGCGGCUUAUCAGCUUGUUGGUGGGGUAGUGGCUUACCAAGGCUUUGACGGGUAGCCGGCCUGAGAGGGUGACCGGCCACAUUGGGACUGCGAUACGGCCCAGACUCCUACGGGAGGCAGCAGUGGGGAAUAUUGCACAAUGGGCGGAAGCCUGAUGCAGCAACGCCGCGUGCGGGAUGACGGCCUUCGGGUGGUAAACCGCUUUCGCCUGUGACGAAGCGUGAGUGACGGUAAUGGGUAAAGAAGCACCGGCUAACUACGUG